GUAGUCAGAUUCACAUCAAUCCACAUGUGUUGGGGUGGGUUGGAGUGGAACUUGAACUAAAUUCUACCUCAAUCCACUCCAAGGAUUGAGGUAAAUCCGAUA
rnacentral:pre_miRNA from 1 species